AUUGAACGCUGGCGGCAGGCCUAACACAUGCAAGUCGAGCGGAUGAAGGGAGCUUGCUCCUGGAUUCAGCGGCGGACGGGUGAGUAAUGCCUAGGAAUCUGCCUGGUAGUGGGGGAUAACGUCCGGAAACGGGCGCUAAUACCGCAUACGUCCUGAGGGAGAAAGUGGGGGAUCUUCGGACCUCACGCUAUCAGAUGAGCCUAGGUCGGAUUAGCUAGUUGGUGGGGUAAAGGCCUACCAAGCCGACGAUCCGUAACUGGUCUGAGAGGAUGAUCAGUCACACUGGAACUGAGACACGGUCCAGACUCCUACGGGAGGCAGCAGUGGGGAAUAUUGGACAAUGGGCGAAAGCCUGGUCCAGCCAUGCCGCGUGUGUGAAGAAGGUCUUCGGAUUGUAAAGCACUUUAAGUGGGGAGGAAGGGCAGUAAGUUAAUACCUUGCUGUUUUGACGUUACCAACAGAAUAAGCACCGGCUAACUUCGUG
rnacentral:rRNA from 1 species